CUUGACCAAGCCAAUUUCUGGCCCUAUGGAAAAUCUUACUUCUUCAACUCCCCUACUGGAAGAUUUUCUGACGGUCGUUUGAUUUCUGAUCGAUUUCAUUGGUAACCAUGUAUUUGUUUCCAUCAUUCUUUUGGUGUUUCAUAGUCAUAAAUGUAUUUUUCCUAUCUAGCUAGACAUUCAACUUUAUAUUAGUACAUAUUUUAACUAACAUCACUUAGACGUACACUUGUUAAUUACUGACAGCUGAUUAUGCAAAGGUUCCAAUACCAGCGGCCAUUAUGCAGCCAAGGAAUGAAGAGGAACAUUACAUUAAUGGAG
rnacentral:lncRNA from 1 species